CCUACGGGAGGCUGCAGUGAGGAAUAUUGGUCAAUGGGCGGAAGCCUGAACCAGCCAAGUAGCGUGCAGGAUGACGGCCCUACGGGUUGUAAACUGCUUUUAUACGGGUAUAACGCGCCUUACGUGUAGGGCUUUGCAUGUACCGUAUGAAUAAGGACCGGCUAAUUCCGUGCCAGCAGCCGCGGUAAUACGGAAGGUCCGGGCGUUAUCCGGAUUUAUUGGGGUUAAAGGGAGCGUAGGCCGCAUGUCAAGCGUGCUGUGAAAUGUCCGGGCUCAACCCGGGCCUUGCAGCGCGAACUGGCGUGCUUGAGUCCGCGGAAGGCAGGCGGAAUUCGUGGUGGAGCGGUGAAAGGCUUAGAUAUGACGAAGAACCCCGAUUGCGAAGGCAGCUUGCUGCAGCGGAACUGACGCUGAUGCUCGAAAGCGCGGGUAUCGAACAGGAUUAGAGACCCUUGUAGUC
rnacentral:rRNA from 1 species